GACGAACGCUGGCGGCGUGCUUAACACAUGCAAGUCGAACGGAAAGGCCCUGCUUUUGUGGGGUGCUCGAGUGGCGAACGGGUGAGUAACACGUGAGUAACCUGCCCUUGACUUUGGGAUAACUCCAGGAAACUGGGGCUAAUACCGGAUAGGAGCUCCUGCUGCAUGGUGGGGGUUGGAAAGUUUCGGCGGUUGGGGAUGGACUCGCGGCUUAUCAGCUUGUUGGUGGGGUAGUGGCUUACCAAGGCUUUGACGGGUAGCCGGCCUGAGAGGGUGACCGGCCACAUUGGGACUGAGAUACGGCCCAGACUCCUACGGGAGGCAGCAGUGGGGAAUAUUGCACAAUGGGCGGAAGCCUGAUGCAGCAACGCCGCGUGCGGGAUGACGGCCUUCGGGUUGUAAACCGCUUUCGCCUGUGACGAAGCGUGAGUGACGGUAAUGGGUAAAGAAGCACCGGCUAACUACGUGCCAGCAGCCGCGGUGAUACGUAGGGUGCGAGCGUUGUCCGGAUUUAUUGGGCGUAAAGGGCUCGUAGGUGGUUGAUCGCGUCGGAAGUGUAAUCUUGGGGCUUAACCCUGAGCGUGCUUUCGAUACGGGUUGACUUGAGGAAGGUAGGGGAGAAUGGAAUUCCUGGUGGAGCGGUGGAAUGCGCAGAUAUCAGGAGGAACACCAGUGGCGAAGGCGGUUCUCUGGGCCUUUCCUGACGCUGAGGAGCGAAAGCGUGGGGAGCGAACAGGCUUAGAUACCCUGGUAGUCCACGCUGUAAACGGUGGGUACUAGGUGUGGGGUCCAUUCCACGGGUUCCGUGCCGUAGCUAACGCUUUAAGUACCCCGCCUGGGGAGUACGGCCGCAAGGCUAAAACUCAAAGGAAUUGACGGGGCCCCGCACAAGCGGCGGAGCAUGCGGAUUAAUUCGAUGCAACGCGUAGAACCUUACCUGGGUUUGACAUGGAUCGGGAGCGCCCAGAGAUGGGUGUGCCUCUUUUGGGGUCGGUUCACAGGUGGUGCAUGGCUGUCGUCAGCUCGUGUCGUGAGAUGUUGGGUUAAGUCCCGCAACGAGCGCAACCCUUGUUCACUGUUGCCAGCACGUUAUGGUGGGGACUCAGUGGAGACCGCCGGGGUCAACUCGGAGGAAGGUGGGGAUGACGUCAAGUCAUCAUGCCCCUUAUGUCCAGGGCUUCACGCAUGCUACAAUGGCUGGUACAGAGAGUGGCGAGCCUGUGAGGGUGAGCGAAUCUCGGAAAGCCGGUCUCAGUUCGGAUUGGGGUCUGCAACUCGACCUCAUGAAGUCGGAGUCGCUAGUAAUCGCAGAUCAGCAACGCUGCGGUGAAUACGUUCCCGGGGCU
rnacentral:rRNA from 1 species